GACGAACGCUGGCGGCGUGCUUAACACAUGCAAGUCGAACGGAAAGGCCCUGCUUUUGUGGGGUGCUCGAGUGGCGAACGGGUGAGUAACACGUGAGUAACCUGCCCUUGACUUUGGGAUAACUUCAGGAAACUGGGGCUAAUACUGGAUAGGAGCUCCUGCUGCAUGGUGGGGGUUGGAAAGUUUCGGCGGUUGGGGAUGGACUCGCGGCUUAUCAGCUUGUUGGUGGGGUAGUGGCUUACCAAGGCUUUGACGGGUAGCCGGCCUGAGAGGGUGACCGGCCACAUUGGGACUGAGAUACGGCCCAGACUCCUACGGGAGGCAGCAGUGGGGAAUAUUGCACAAUGGGCGGAAGCCUGAUGCAGCAACGCCGCGUGCGGGAUGACGGCCUUCGGGUUGUAAACCGCUUUCGCCUGUGACGAAGCGUGAGUGACGGUAAUGGGUAAAGAAGCACCGGCUAACUACGUGC
rnacentral:rRNA from 1 species